rnacentral:rRNA from 1 species
GACGGAGGAUGCAAGUGUUAUCCGGAAUCACUGGGCGUAAAGCGUCUGUAGGUGGUUUAAAAAGUCCAAUGUUAAAAAAUUGAAGCUUAACUUCAAAGGUGCCUUGGAAAACUUUUUAAAACUGGAGGAUGGUAGGGGUAGAGGGAAUUUCCAGUGGAGCGGUGAAAUGCGUAGAUAUCGGGAGGAACACCAGUGGCGAAGGCGAACUACCUGGCCUGUUCUUGACGCUGAGGCGCGAAAGCUAGGGGAGCAAACGGG